rnacentral:rRNA from 1 species
UGAGCAAUCUGCCCUUCUCAUCGGAAUAAGCGUUGGAAACGACGUCUAAUGCCGAAUACGACCUCCUUUCGCAUGAUCGGAGGUGGAAAGCUCCGGCGGAGAAGGAUGAGCUCGCGGCCUAUCAGCUAGUUGGUGAGGUAAUAGCUCACCAAGGCGACGACGGGUAGCCGGCCUGAGAGGGUGACCCGGCCACACGUGGGACUGAGACACGGCCCAGACCUCCGUAGG